GCGAGGAAUCUUGCGCAAUGGGCGAAAGCCUGACGCAGCAACGCCGCGUGGGUGACGAAGGCCUUCGGGUCGUAAAACCCUUUUGUCGGGGAAGAAGAUCUGACGGUACCCGACGAAGAAGCCACGGCUAACUACGUGCCAGCAGCCGCGGUAAUACGUAGGUGGCGAGCGUUAUCCGGAUUUACUGGGCGUAAAGCGUACGUAGGCGGUUCGGCAAGUCUGUCGUGAAAUCUCCCGGCUCAACUGGGAGCGGUCGAUGGAAACUGCCGGACUUGAGGGACGUAGAGGUGAGCGGAAUUCCCGGUGUAGUGGUGAAAUGCGUAGAUAUCGGGAGGAACACCAGUGGCGAAAGCGGCUCACUAGGCGUUACCUGACGCUGAGGUACGAAAGCGUGGGGAGCGAACCGG
rnacentral:rRNA from 1 species